rnacentral:rRNA from 1 species
GGAAUAUUGCACAAUGGGCGCAAGCCUGAUGCAGCCAUGCCGCGUGUAUGAAGAAGGCCUUCGGGUUGUAAAGUACUUUCAGCGGGGAGGAAGGCGACGGGGUUAAUAACCUUAUCGAUUGACGUUACCCGCAGAAGAAGCACCGGCUAACUCCGUGCCAGCAGCCGCGGUAAUACGGAGGGUGCAAGCGUUAAUCGGAAUUACUGGGCGUAAAGCGCACGCAGGCGGUCUGUUAAGUCAGAUGUGAAAUCCCCGGGCUUAACCUGGGAACUGCAUUUGAAACUGGCAGGCUUGAGUCUUGUAGAGGGGGGUAGAAUUCCAGGUGUAGCGGUGAAAUGCGUAGAGAUCUGGAGGAAUACCGGUGGCGAAGGCGGCCCCCUGGACAAAGACUGACGCUCAGGUGCGAAAGCGUGGGGAGCAAACAGGAUUAGAUACCCCAG